UCCUAGCGCUGCGGGCUGCCCGUGCCCGGCGCGCAUUCACUUCCUUGCCAGAGGAAGCCCUGGGCGAGUGCUCGGCUCCAGCGUGGGGCUCGGGUUCCACCGACUCAGAUACAGC
rnacentral:misc_RNA from 1 species